rnacentral:lncRNA from 1 species
GCAAGGUCGUCGUUGCUGGUGUCCGUUUGGCUUUCUUAUCAGAAAAGCCACUGUGCUGCAAGAGACCUGGCCCGGGCGUCUUCCGCUGCCCUGCGCUUUGUGAAAAGGAUUAUUGUCUGGGAGCAGAGGAGAGAGGAGUAGACACUGUAACUGAAUGGAACAAGGCAAUAAGAUAAGUGAAAAAGAUACCGUUGGAGGAUAUUUCAGCUUUACAACAUUAUUGUCCACGUACAAGUUCUGAGGAAAUUUACAUGGGCAUAAACCUCUACAUUUUAAUGAAAGAAAAGAGUUGAUUCACUCAUCGGCAAUAG